CCUACGGGAGGCAGCAGUGGGGAAUAUUGCACAAUGGGGGAAACCCUGAUGCAGCAACGCCGCGUGAAGGAAGACGGUUUUCGGAUUGUAAAAUUCUGUUCUUAGUGAAGAAUAAUGACGGUAGCUAAGGAGCAAGCCACGGCUAACUACGUGCCAGCAGCCGCGGUAAUACGUAGGUGGCAAGCGGUGUCCGGCAUUACUGGGUGUAAGGGGAGCGCAGGCGGGAAGCUAAGUCAGCUGUGAAAACUACGGUCUUACCUUGUAGACUGCAGUUGAAACUGGUUUUCUUGAGUGAAGUAGAGGUUGGCGGAAUUCCGAGUGUAGCGGUGAAAUGCGUAGAUAUUCGGAGGAACACCGGUGGCGAAGGCGACCAACUGGUCUUUAACUGACGCUGAGGCUCGAAAGUGUGGGGAGCAAACAGGAUUAGAUACCCCUGUAGUC
rnacentral:rRNA from 1 species